rnacentral:rRNA from 1 species
ACUCAAAUGAAUUGACGGGGGCCCGCACAAGCAGCGGAGCAUGUGGUUUAAUUCGACGCAACGCGAAGAACCUUACCAGGUCUUGACAUCGAUCUAAUCCCGUAGAAAUAUGGGGUCCCUUCGGGGGAGAGAAGACAGGUGGUGCAUGGUUGUCGUCAGCUCGUGUCGUGAGAUGUUGGGUUAAGUCCCGCAACGAGCGCAACCCUUAUGAUCAGUUACUAACGGGUAAUGCCGAGGACUCUGAUGAGACUGCCGGGGACAACUCGGAGGAAGGUGGGGACGACGUCAAAUCAUCAUGCCCCUUAUGACCUGGGCUACACACGUGCUACAAUGGCGGCAACAAAGAGGCGCGAGCCCGCAAGGGGGAGCGGAUCUCAAAAAAGCCGUCCCAGUUCGGAUUGUGGGCUGCAACCCGCCCACAUGAAGUUGGAGUUGCUAGUAAUCGCGAAUCAGCAUGUCGCGGUGAAUACGUUCCCGGGCCUUGUACACACCGCCCGU